GUGAGGUAACGGCUCACCAAGGCGACGACGGGUAGCCGGCCUGAGAGGGCGACCGGCCACACUGGGACUGAGACACGGCCCAGACUCCUACGGGAGGCAGCAGUGGGGAAUAUUGCACAAUGGGCGAAAGCCUGAUGCAGCGACGCCGCGUGAGGGAUGACGGCCUUCGGGUUGUAAACCUCUUUCAGCAGGGAAGAAGCGAAAGUGACGGUACCUGCAGAAGAAGCGCCGGCUAACUACGUGCCAGCAGCCGCGGUAAUACGUAGGGCGCGAGCGUUGUCCGGAAUUAUUGGGCGUAAAGAGCUCGUAGGCGGCUUGUCGCGUCGGUUGUGAAAGCCCGGGGCUUAACCCCGGGUCUGCAGUCGAUACGGGCAGGCUAGAGUUCGGUAGGGGAGAUCGGAAUUCCUGGUGUAGCGGUGAAAUGCGCAGAUAUCAGGAGGAACACCGGUGGCGAAGGCGGAUCUCUGGGCCGAUACUGACGCUGAGGAGCGAAAGCGUGGGGAGCGAACAGGAUUAGAUACCCUGGUAGUCCACGCCGUAAACGGUGGGCACUAGGUGUGGGCGACAUUCCACGUCGUCCGUGCCGCAGCUAACGCAUU
rnacentral:rRNA from 1 species